UCCAGACUCCUACGGGAGGCAGCAGUGGGGAAUAUUGGGCAAUGGGGGAAACCCUGACCCAGCGACGACGCGUGAGGGGAGAAGGUUUUCGGAUUGUAAACCUCUGUCCUUGGUGACGAUAAUGACGGUAGCCAAGGAGGAAGCCACGGCUAACUACGUGCCAGCAGCCGCGGUAAUACGUAGGGGGCGAGCGUUAUCCGGAUUCACUGGGUGUAAAGGGAGCGUAGACGGCCAUGCAAGCCAGGGGUGAAAGCCCGGGGCCCAACCCCGGGACUGCCCUUGGAACUGCAUGGCUGGAGUGCGGGAGGGGCAGGCGGAAUUCCUGGUGUAGCGGUGAAAUGCGUAGAUAUCAGGAGGAACACCGGCGGCGAAGGCGGCCUGCUGGACCGCGACUGACGUUGAGGCUCGAAAGCGUGGGGAGCAAACAGGAUUAGAUACCCGAGUA
rnacentral:rRNA from 1 species